rnacentral:ncRNA from 1 species
UAAAGUUUUGGUCCUAAACUUACUAUUGUUUAUAAUCAAGAUUACACAUGCAAGCCUCCGCACACCAGUGAGAAUGCCCACAAACCCCAGACAGCCAGCCGGAGCAGGUAUCAGGACCAACAAUUUAGCCUAAGACACCUUGCUAUGCCACACCCACACGGGCCUUCAGCAGUGACUAACAUUAAGACAUGAGCGAAAGCUUGACUUGGCUAUGAUUAAAAAAGUCGGUAAAUUUCGUGCCAGCCACCGCGGUUAUACGAAAGGCUUAAAACAAUAGACUUCGGCGUAAAGCGUGACUAGGGGCACAUCACAAACUUAAAGAAAAACUACCAUAAAGCAGUAAAAAGCUUAUACGAGUAAGAAUCCCAUCACCAAACAGACUUUAAAUAAAAGAUUUCCCCCAUCUCACGAAAGCUAAGAAACAAACUGGGAUUAGAUACCCCACUAUGCUUAGCCCUAAACAUAGACAGUAACAACACAAUACUGUUCGCCAGAGAACUACAAGCAAAAAACUAGAAACUCUAAGGACUUGGCGGUGCUCCAUAUCAACCUAGAGGAGCCUGUCCUAUAAUCGAUACCCCACGCUAAACCUUACCAUCUUUUGCCACCCAGCCUAUAUACCGCCGUCGUCAGCUUACCUUGUGAAAGAAGAAUAGUAGGCAAAACAGCUAACAGCUAACACGUCAGGUCAAGGUGUAGCACAUAAGAUGGAAGAGAUGGGCUACAUUUUCUGCCACAGAACAAACGAAUGCUACAAUGAAACAUGUACCUAAAGGUGGAUUUAGUAGUAAGAUAAAAAAGCAACACUAUCUUAAACAUGCUCUGGAGCGCGCACACACCGCCC